GCUGGGGCUCAGUGGCAGAGCGCUCACCUGGCAUGUGUGAGGCCCUGGGUUCAAUCCUCAGCACUGCA
rnacentral:tRNA from 1 species